ACCUACGGGGGGCAGCAGUGAGGAAUAUUGGUCAAUGGUCGGGAGACUGAACCAGCCAAGCCGCGUGAGGGAGGAAGGUACAGAGUAUCGUAAACCUCUUUUGUCAGGGAACAAAGGCGGGGACGUGUCCCCGGAUGAGUGUACCUGAAGAAAAAGCAUCGGCUAACUCCGUGCCAGCAGCCGCGGUAAUACGGAGGAUGCGAGCGUUAUCCGGAUUUAUUGGGUUUAAAGGGUGCGCAGGCGGUCUGUUAAGUCAGCGGUCAAGGCCCGGGGCUCAACCCCGGCCCGCCGUUGAAACUGGCCGU
rnacentral:rRNA from 1 species